GAUGAACGCUAGCGGCAGGCCUAAUACAUGCAAGUCGGACGGGAUCCAUCGGAGAGCUUGCUCGAAGAUGGUGAGAGUGGCGCACGGGUGCGUAACGCGUGUGCAACCUACCUCUAUCAGGGGGAUAGCCUCUCGAAAGAGAGAUUAACACCGCAUAAUAUAAUCUUCCGGCAUCGUUAGAUUAUUAAAUAUUUAUAGGAUAGAGAUGGGCUCGCGUGACAUUAGCUAGUUGGUAAGGUAACGGCUUACCAAGGCGACGAUGUCUAGGGGAUCUGAGAGGAGAAUCCCCCACACUGGUACUGAGACACGGACCAGACUCCUACAGGAGGCAGCAGUAAGGAAUAUUGGUCAAUGGGCGGAAGCCUGAACCAGCCAUGCCGCGUGCAGGACGACUGCCCUAUGGGUUGUAAACUGCUUUUGUCCAGGAAUAAACCUAAAUACGUGUAUUUAGCUGAAUGUACUGGAAGAAUAAGGAUCGGCUAACUCCGUGCCAGCCGCCGCCGUAAGAC
rnacentral:rRNA from 1 species